rnacentral:lncRNA from 1 species
UACGCUGAGGCUGGUCCAGGCUUGGUUUGCCUCGGUGCACACGGAGGAGCUCUGCGUGUGUGCACAGGCAGCUGGGAAACCAGCAGAACGUGUUCGUUCAUGAUGUGGUGUAGUAAAGGGUCUUCUGCAAUGUGCCCAUCCCUGUUUCUGUCUCCACCCUCAGCCGAGUCUGAGAGAGAAGAGGAAUGGAUUCAAACCCUCAUGAGCCUGUCAUCUUUGUACCCUAGCCUGUGGUGUGGACACCUACCACCAGUCCAUCUUUAGCUACAUGACACAGUGCAGAACAAGGCACCAAAACUAAGUUUUGCUACUUUUGCUUCUGACACAAGAUUAAUCUGAAUCACCCGACGCCAGGCAGAAAAUACGUCCCAUGUUUGGAGUGAGGUUUUUGGCUGCAGAAGAACAUAACAGUUCAAGCACUAAAAAAGAAGUAAGCUGGAAAAGUUAAUUUCUAUAAGCUGUUUCUAGCAGUAGGGUGCAAAGGAAACCAAACCUUAUGCUACCACCUUGUCUCAGUGACCCACUUAAGAACUUCUUUAAUCUACCAAUCACUUUCAGUCCCAUUUGACAGAAGCAGAGAUCCCUCAGAUAUGCCAUCCUACAAGUUUUAGUGGACAUUAACUUUCGCAUCGCCAGGGUAGCCUCGCAAAGGGAAAAACACUUUCAGUCUCUUAUGUGAGACUAUCUUUUAUCUAGAGGCAAAAACCCACCGCCCAGUCAGCUCAUGCCUAUCUUCAAGCAUGACAGGGAAGAUUCUGCCACUUGCCUGGCCAGGCAGAGAGGAAAUGAGAGAGUCGUGAGGGGAAGGGAAGGAAUGUGGAGAUGCAACGUCCAACCCCAUGGGAAACUGGAUUUCCACUCCUCAUAGAGCAGCAUGUUUCAGUGAAGACUGAGGUUCAGAGGUGGCCUUGCUGAGAUGCCUCUGAGCCUGGGGCACUGGGGACUAGCGUUUGGUCCAAGAUUAAACAUACCAAAACCAGCCAUGAAAUUCCAGUCCAGACCGAAUUCCUUACCACGGUAAGCAUCUCUAUUUCAACUUAAAUAUUUAAUUUGCUUGACGAGAUUGUUGGAACUUGCCCCUGGAGUGUUGAAUAAUUUCUAUCUUGUCUCCUAAAGUCCAAACCCGGUCUUUUAACCCUCAGGAAAUUUGAGCAGUUAAUAUCAUGAUGUGAUCCAAAAAGAUGCUGAGCACCAGAAACCUCAUAGCAGCAAGUAUAAAUAUGUCUGGGUUUCAGCUGCAGGUCCUUUAAGAGCUACCUGUUACUGUAACCACUUCACAUCAUUUGCACAGUGGGGCUUUUUGCUGGAUUGAUAAGCAGUUCACUGUAAACAACCAUUUCAUGGUAUUUAUAUGAAUACAGGGUGUCAUAAUUCUGAGCUUCUCUCCUCCCUACAAGAGAAAAUAUUCAAGGAAAUUCCCCAAAGGGCAAGUCACGUUUGGAUAAGUCUGGCAUCACUCCAAGAGCGUGUGAUUGCCAGAGAAAGGGAAUUUACUUGAAGAAGAAUGAGAAUAUAGCAUUAUUUACCAGCUAAGAGCUGAUUCUGCAGGGGGUAGAACAUUGUCUGCCUUGGUAUCAGAGGAGACUGAAGCCGCUCCACAUCUCAGCCACAGAUUUAAUAAACACUGACGUGUUUGCA